GAUGAACGCUAGCGGCAGGCCUAACACAUGCAAGUCGAGGGGGAAGUUACUUUCGGGUGACUGAGACCGGCGUACGGGUGCGUAACGCGUAUACAAUCUGCCUUUCACUGGGGGAUAGCCCGAAGAAAUUUGGAUUAAUACCCCAUAGUAUAUAGGGACGGCAUCGUUUUUAUAUUAAAGCUUAGGUGGUGAAAGAUGAGUAUGCGUUCUAUUAGCUAGUUGGAGAGGUAACGGCUCCCCAAGGCGAUGAUAGAUAGGGGUUCUGAGAGGGAUGUCCCCCACACUGGUACUGGGAUACGGACCAGACUCCUACGGGAGGCAGCAGUGAGGAAUAUUGGACAAUGGUCGGAAGACUGAUCCAGCCAUGCCGCGUGCAGGAUGAAGGUCUUAUGGAUUGUAAACUGCUUUUGUAAGGGAAGAAUAAGGGCUACGCGUAGUUUGAUGACGGUACCUGACGAAUAAGCAUCGGCUAACUCCGUG
rnacentral:rRNA from 1 species